GCAACGGUAGCCUAGCCUGGUACGGCGCUGGCCUGGAAAGCCAGUGUGUGAAUGCACCCGGGGGUUCGAUUUAUAAGAAAUCUCUUCUUGAAAGAACAAAUCCCUCCCGUUGCG
rnacentral:tRNA from 1 species